CUGCAGUCGAGCGAAGCUUUUCAGUAGUUUACUACAGAAAAUGACUGAGCGGCGAACGGGUGAGUAACGCGUGAGCAACCUACCUUAGUUACUGGGAUAGCCCGAGGAAACUCGGAUUAAUACCGGAUAUUCUUAUUUAAUCACAUGAUUUUUUAAGGAAAGGUCAGCCGAACUAAGAUGGGCUCGCGUUCUAUCAGCUAGUUGGUAGGGUAAUGGCCUACCAAGGCUACGACGGAUAGCUGGUCUGAGAGGACGAUCAGCCACACUGGGACUGAGACACGGCCCAGACUCCUACGGGAGGCUGCAGCAGGGAAUAUUGCGCAAUGAGCGAAAGCUUGACGCAGCGACACCGCGUGUGGGAUGACGGAUCUAGGUUUGUAAACCACUUUCAGGAGGGAAGAAAAUGACGGUACCUCCACAAGAAGCCCCGGCCAACUACGUGCCAGCAGCCGCGGUAAUACGUAGGGGGCGAGCGUUGUCCGGAUUUAUUGGGCGUAAAGAGCUCGUAGGCGGUUCAACAAGUCGGUCGUGAAAGUUCAGGGCUCAACCCUGAAAUGUCGAUCGAUACUGUUGUGACUAGGAUACGGUAGAGGUGAGUGGAAUUCCGAGUGUAGCGGUGAAAUGCGUAGAUAUUCGGAGGAACACCAAUUGCGAAGGCAGCUCACUGGGCCGCUAUCGACGCUGAGGAGCGAAAGCUAGGGGAGCAAACAGGAUUAGAUACCCUGGUAGUCCUAGCUGUAAACGAUGGAUACUAGACGUAGGAAUUGGAUUAACGAUUUCUGUGUCGUAGCUAACGCGUUAAG
rnacentral:rRNA from 1 species